ACGCCCGCGCUUCAGCAGAUCCGCGUUCGAGUCGUGCAUACCUUUAGCCACCUCCUCUCCAAUGUCCACGACUCUGAUAUACCGUGUUUGUUAGUCUUGACUGGUGUUUGUUCUCUGUUUUGUUGUGCAGGAGGCUGGAGAAGAGCAGGGAGAAAGGGGAGUCGUGUAUGGAGGUUCUGUACUUUUGUUGUAUCAACAUCUUCUCCGUGAGUCUUUUGCCCCCACUCUAUUUCUGGUUUGGGCUGAAACAUCAUCAUUUUGAUUCUUUACGUGGUUCACUGGCACAGGUUUGUCCUACAUGGCCGAGCGAGAUCGAAGCUAGCCGCCGGUAAUGUUCUUCUCCCGUGCAAGUUCUGCACUGCACUAAAGCAUCCAACACAUGGUGAGACAUCUUUUUAGCGUUUAAAAAACGUGCACCAUCCUUUCUCAUCCAACAUAUUUUUCACCCCUGAUUUGUGACCUCCUAAUGAACAUGAAGAUUCAUAUGCUAGCUAUAACACAUUAUAUAUUUGAAAGCAAUAUUUUCUGAUGUACUAUCCGAUGAAAUUUUAUUUUUGGAGACGUUCAUUCAUAAUUUUGACGACCUCUUGAUUCAUGUCAUUAGUAGUUAUUUCAAUAGAACAAAGAUGUUUUUCAGCACUUUUCAGGUAGGAAAUAUCCCUAUGGAAUAUUUUGGACAAUAUACAACAUGUUCUGUGGGCUUGAAGAAAAUAUAUAACAUGAUAUGUCACAUACUUUAUUGUUAAGUUACAAGAAUAGUUGUGGACGCCAUCCAAUUUUACAUAGAUUUCUAUUUAUUGUGCAAUGAUAUUUUUGUAGUGUGAUGAUAUAAAGAAGGAAUGUACAUUGUAGGGUGUUUGCUACGUGCUACAUAUAUCUUACUCAAUAGCAGUUAGUAAGCUUAUGUUCCAGUAAUGAGAAAGGGCACAAUCAUCUCAUGCCAUUUCGUGGGAGCAGUAGAAGUGACAUCUAUGCUAUGGUCUGAAGUAGAAGUGUAGAACACUAAUUGUAUGCUAUGGGCUGAAGUAGAAGACAUUAAGGCGAUUCAGCUGUCAUCUGAGCAUUCAAAUAGGCAAUGUUCUGUCUGCUAGAACGCAUCAAGUUUUGGCCGAUGUUCAUACUUUUGCGUAAUGUUCCUACUUUGGCUGUGCACAGAUGUAGCUACGUUAUACUCCCUCCGUUCCUCAAUAUAAGGUGUAUUAUUUUUCCAAAAAGUCAAACUUUUCUAAGUUUGACCAAGUUUAUAGACAAAAGUAUCAAUAUCUAGAAUACCAAAUCAUUAUCACUAGAUCCAUCAUGAACUAUAUUUUUACAUUUUAUAUAUUUACUAUUAUAAAUCUUUAUAUAUUUUGCUGUAAACUUGGUCAAACAUAGACAAUAGUUGACUUUUUGAAAAACUAAUACACCUUAUAUUUAGGAACGGAGGGAGUAGGUGGUACAUCAACCAAGUAUGUUUCAAGGUGAGACAUCCAUCAAGUUUGUUUGGAGGUGAGACAUCCAGCAAGUUUGUUUGAAGCCUCUGCAUACCUUCUCAUCCAGCAAGUUAACACCAGCAACUAUGAC
rnacentral:lncRNA from 1 species